UUUGUAUUGAAAGAUAUAUAAGCUAUAAUUAAAAUAAAUAAAUAAAUAAAUCCAGCGACCUAAAUCGAAAAUCUCGUAAUACAUGAUUCAUGAUUAUGUAAUAAUACAAAAAGUCAUGUCAUAUACGACUGAGGGUUGUGUAUUACAUGUGUGUAUUACGCAGCCUUGAAUCAUGUGUUACAUGAGCUUACACAACCGAAUUAUAAUCGGAACAAUCCAUCAAUUUUUCACCAUUUACAUGGAGCAAACAACUAGAAAUUUGUAUAUUAUGAGAGACCCACAACUAAUUUAAUCUAUUUUUACUAUAUAAGAUCCUAUUUUUUUUAAUUUUUCUUUAAAUAUAAAAAAGAAAGUUAAUUAUAAGGAAUUACUUUCCUAAAAUAGUUAGAUUCCAGCAAUUUUGUUAAAAAUAAUCGAUUUUCACCGGCGAUUGUGCAGUGACAAACUAGUCUUCUCUUUCUCAAUUGCAAUAGCUUCCUCUUCUCAAGCUUGGUUUGCUCAUAUGUUGAUGUCUAGUUCAACAUGUACGAGUAUUUGUUUGAGCCAUGUUAUGUUUGAGUUGUGUAAAUAUUUUAAGAUAAGGAUAGUUUAGUAAUUUUGAUAAAUUUUAUUUUUAAGAUAUUGAGAUAAUUUUGAAAGUAAUAAGGUACAUCUGCUGCAAUUAAGGAUAGCAAAAAAAUCCGAGUCCGGCUCGGAUCCAUAAAAAUCUAAAAAAUUUGAAUCCGGAAAAAUCUGGAUCCACACUUUAAAAAAUGUGGAUCCAGAGUUUAAGAAUUAUAAUUAAGAAUUAUAAUUCGUGCGGAUCCGGAUCCGGAUCCGGAUCCGGAUCCAAGUGUAUCCAGAAAACCGGAUAUCCAGAUUCGGAUUAAUUUUAAUUAUAAUAUUAAUUUAAUAUAAUUUGUAUUGAAAGAUAUAUAAGCUAUAAUUAAAAUAAAUAAAUAAAUAAAUCCAGCGACCUAAAUCGAAAAGCGCAGACGGCAACAGCAUCACUCACUCACCAAACCGUUCGCGCCUCACACGUCCACCACUCACAAGCGCUUGAAAUCGAAAACCACCCUAAAUCCCUAACCCUUGAACGCCGUCCGGCUUGCAGUCGCUGUCAUCG
rnacentral:lncRNA from 1 species